rnacentral:rRNA from 1 species
UGGCGGACGGGUGAGUAACGGCGUGGGUAACCUGCCUCAGUACAGGGGGAUAACAGUUGGAAACGACUGUUAAUACCGCAUAAGCACACAGUACCGCAUGGUACGGUGUGAAAAACUCCGGUGGUAUGAGAUGGACCCGCGUCUGAUUAGCCAGUUGGCGGGGUAACGGCCCACCAAAGCGACGAUCAGUAGCCGACCUGAGAGGGUGACCGGCCACAUUGGGACUGAGACACGGCCCAAACUCCUACGGAAGGCAGCAG